rnacentral:misc_RNA from 1 species
AACGGCCUUGGCUUCCAACCUGUUGCGUGGGCCCGAGCCCAUUCCAGCUUUGCACCCGCACACGUGCUCACACCUUCCGCCAUGUCGUCGGACUCCGGCAUCAACGCGGCGUUGCUGAAUCUCUGCGCUCAGCUGCAGGACGGUGGCGCCAGGUCCGCGGCCAAUGAGUGCCCAUCCGCCCCGAAUCACACCGAAGGAUCUCGAGAAACGGCUGAGCAGUCCAGCACGAGCGCUGCUGUAUGUGCUACAGCACUGACUGCCGCCCCCGCUGCAGCUGCUCAGGCGCAGGCGAGACGCGCCGCCGACUACGAGUGGCUUCGCAGCGCCCUUGCCUCGGUCGAGUCACCGGAGAAGCGGGUCAAACAGCUUCUUUUCAACAUGGAGAACCUAACCACAGAAGGGAAGCCGGGGCCCUUGGUGCAGGAAGAGCGGCUGGAAGCAUUGGAGGAAUUGGCUGACAUGGUCGAGGAUGUCAACUGGGCUGCGGAGUUUGCACUCAUGCAAGGGCCGCAGCGCCUUCUUGACGUGAUGCGUUGUGAACGCGCUGCGCACCCUCUCCUUGCGACUGGAAGCCGAGACCCUUCCGCCAGCGUGGAGGCCGCCGACAGCACCGGCAGAGGGGAUAGAGAGGUACAGACUGCUACUCACGAUGGCAUCCCUUCGUCAGCAGUACCGCUCUUCACAGAAUUUGCCAUGAUCAUUGCCCACUCAGCGCAGCUGAACGAACCGGUGCAAGCCGCGUACGGAGCCGCUCACUGGGAGGACAUCAUUCUCCCCUUCAUGGGUGAGUGCAUCGCAGCGGUUCAAGAUCUACUGCACCUCGGGAGUGACGGCCACGCGAUCGGCGCACAGGGCGACGGCGCCGAGGCUGCAAAUGCUGCUGCAGGAGCCGCGUCUCUGAUGCGCCUGCUCGGCGCCUUGCUGCAUGCGUGCAGCUGUCUAUGCCGCGAUUCCUCACCGAACACCGUUGUGUUUUUCCAGACCAGCGGUUUGGCUGUUAUUGUGGAUGUGCUGAGACUCACACGAACGCUGCCAGAUUCGAUUUUGGAAUGCACAGCAGAGGGUGGACGCACACCCGUGGUUGUCACUAACAUCGCCUCCGACACAGCAUCUGAUCAGGAAGUGGACGACAUCUAUGCCCCGCUGCUUGGCACGACCCGCAAAGUAACCGCGCGGGCGCUCUUCUUUGUUGCCUACCUGGCCUCCACCGGCGUAUCCAGUGAGGAGAUUAUACAGCUCACAUGCCUGCACGCGGAGUCGGGUAACAGCGGUGAGACAGUCCAAAAGGCUGCAGCGCAUGCCCUCGCAGCGCUGGUGGAAAAGAGCCCAAAGGCGAUCAAGGAAGCCGUCCACGCCCUCAUGCCCCAUCGACUUAAAGAGUGGCGGACACAAGUGCAGCGCGUGGAGGGCGACGGGGAGGCGCAGGACGACCGCCUGCACUUCCUGGAUGCACUCGAGCGGAUCAGCUGAGCAGGACACUAGCACGACCCACCACAUGCCGUCAGCAUUCUUCUCUUUUUCGUCUGCUGAGGCAGAGGCUUCAACAGCAGGCUCUGAGCUCUUUGUGCGCACGCGCUGUCAAGCACCGCCGGCACGGCGCCUCGCAUCCGAAGAAAGCAUGCAGAGGCGCGAAGAGACGCAUGCGAGCGAGCCGCCGUGUGCAUGUGCGCGGAGCGUGCGGAACGUCCUCCACCCGGCCGUGUGGGCUGCUGAGGCACAGAUGCCCGGGGGGGGCAUGACGCGAGCACCCCGAAUGGCAGCAUCGGGUCGUCCGGGCACCCAUGUGGCGAGUCUCCACACCGUACUAUGGCAUGCCGCUGCUUGAGGCGACGGAGGGCGCGAGGGAGGGCGCACAGGCGGAGCACAGGGCCUCCAGGGGGCCCUGGCCUGCGGCUGGCCAACUGAUUCCGUGAGCCCAUGCGGCAUGCACCUGGGCCACCACCACCCCUCUACUACGCGCACGGCGGACGCCGGUGCCUCCGCCCUUGAGCAGGGCCCUGGACGCUGCCCGCGUUGGGUCCAGGCGCGCAGUGCACCCAGGUCGGUCUGGUGCCGGUGGCGCAGCACGCGUGCGAGGGAGGCGCGAGGAAGGACAAGAAGAGACCGUGAGACGCAUGUCCCCGCUUCGGCGGCAGCCGUCUCGCCCUAGAGGGCCAAGAUGCCGCCGUGGUGCAGCGGAGGCGUCUGCGCUGUGAUGGCGUGUAUACGUGCAUAUCUGUCGACGUGCUCGGUGUGCAGUGGAGUGCGUGGUCGCGAGGCAAAAAGGUAAACGGGCCAGAUGCGUCGUCGUUUUUCGUCAAGUAACUCGCGCUAACUCGCUCUUAUUCGAUUGCCACCACCACCACUUCUCAUGCUAAGGAAAUUAUACAAGAAGUUUGCAAUGGGUUGAUGCUAAAUCAGAUG